rnacentral:rRNA from 1 species
GAUGAACGCUGACAGAAUGCUUAACACAUGCAAGUCUACUUGAACUUCGGUUUGGGUGGCGGACGGGUGAGUCACGCGUAAAGAACUUGCCUCACAGUUAGGGACAACAUUUGGAAACGAAUGCUAAUACCUGAUAUUAUGAUUUUAGGGCAUCCUAGGAUUAUGAAAGCUAUAUGUGCUGUGAGAGAGCUUUGCGUCCCAUUAGCUAGUUGGAGAGGUAACGGCUCACCAAGGCGAUGAUGGGUAGCCGGCCUGAGAGGGUGAACGGCCACAAGGGGACUGAGACACGGCCCUUACUCCUACGGGAGGCAGCAGUGGGGAGUAUUGGACAAUGGACCAAAAGUCUGAUCCAGCAAUUCUGUGUGCACGAUGACGUUUUUCGGAAUGUAAAGUGCUUUCAGUUGGGAAGAAAAAAAUGACGGUACCAACAGAAGAAGUGACGGCUAAAUACGUG